GCCAGCAUAGCAUAGUUGUUUGAGCAUUGGACUAGGAUUCAGGAGUCCAGGUUUCGAAUCCUGGCUUGGCC